GAUGAACGCUGGCGGCGUGCCUAAUACAUGCAAGUCGAGCGAACGGACGAGAAGCUUGCUUCUCUGAUGUUAGCGGCGGACGGGUGAGUAACACGUGGAUAACCUACCUAUAAGACUGGGAUAACUUCGGGAAACCGGAGCUAAUACCGGAUAAUAUUUUGAACCGCAUGGUUCAACAGUGUAAGACGGUCCUGCUGUCACUUAUAGAUGGAUCCGCGCUGCAUUAGCUAGUUGGUAAGGUAACGGCUUACCAAGGCAACGAUGCAUAGCCGACCUGAGAGGAUGAUCGGCCACACUGGAACUGAGACACGGUCCAGACUCCUACGGGAGGCAGCAGUAGGGAAUCUUCCGCAAAGGGCGAAAGCCUGACGGAGCAACGCCGCGUGAGUGAUGAAGGUCUUCGGAUCGUAAAACUCUGUUAUUAGGGAAGAACAUAUGUGUAAGUAACUGUGCACAUCUUGACGGUACCUAAUCAGAAAGCCACGGCUAACUACGUG
rnacentral:rRNA from 1 species